rnacentral:rRNA from 1 species
CAGCAGCCGCGGGAAUACGAGGGGGGCAAGCGUUGUUCGGAUUUAUUGGGCGUAAAGGGUGCGUAGGCGGUUUGGCAAGUCUUGUGUGAAAUCUCAGAGCUUAACUCUGAAACUGCGCUUGAUACUGCUUGGCUAGAGGAUCGGAGGGGGUAACGGAAUUUAUGGUGUAGCAGUGAAAUGCGUAGAUAUCAUAAGGAGCACCGGUGGCGAAGGCGGUUACCUGGAAGAUUCCUGACUCUGAAACACGAAAGCCAGGGGAGCAAACGGGAUUAGAUACCCCCGUAGUCCCUGUCUCUUAUAC